rnacentral:rRNA from 1 species
CAGUAGCCGCGGUAAUACGUAGGGGGCGAGCGUUGUCCGAAGUUACUGGGCGUAAAGCGCGCGUAGGCGGCUUCUUAAGUCUGAGGUGAAAGGUUCAACGCUUAACGUGAACAGUGCCUUGGAUACUGGGGAGCUUGAGUAUGGGAGAGGGCAGUGGAAUGGCUGGUGUAGCGGUGAAAUGCGUAGAUAUCAGUUGGAACACCCAUGGCGAAGGCAGCUGCCUGGCCUAAUACUGACGCUGAGGUGCGAAAGCGUGGGGAGCGAACGGGAUUAGAGACCCGUGUAGUCCCUGUCUCUUAUA